ACGGAAGGCAGCAGUGGGGGAUAUUGCGCAAUGGGGGAAACCCUGACGCAGCAACGCCGCGUGAAGGAAGAAGGUCUUCGGAUUGUAAACUUUUGUCUUUUGGGACGAUAGUGACGGUACCAAAGGAGGAAGCCACGGCUAACUACGUGCCAGCAGCCGCGGUAAUACGUAGGUGGCGAGCGUUGUCCGGAAUUACUGGGUGUAAAGGGCGUGUAGGCGGGUAAUCAAGUCAGAUGUGAAAUACCGGGGCUCAACGCCGGGGCUGCAUUUGAAACUGAAUAUCUUGAGUGCAGGAGAGGAAAGCGGAAUUCCUAGUGUAGCGGUGAAAUGCGUAGAUAUUAGGAGGAACACCGGUGGCGAAGGCGGCUUUCUGGACUGUAACUGACGCUGAGGCGCGAAAGCGUGGGGAGCAAACAGGAUUAGAUACCCUGGUA
rnacentral:rRNA from 1 species